rnacentral:lncRNA from 1 species
GGCCGGGUGCAGUGGCUCACACCUCUAAUCCCAGUUCUUUGGGAGGCUGAGGCCAGCAGAUCACGAAGUCAGGAGAUCAAGACCAUCCUGGCCAACAUGGUGAAACCCCGUCUCUUCAAAUAUACAAAGAAUUAGCCAGAGAAGCAGGGAAUCUGGAAUUUUGGGUGAAAUGUCUGUUUCCAGAAGCUGAAAGUGCUCUCAAAUGGAAACUUCAGGGUCAGAAUGGCCUGGGGUACUGCACACUUCCUACCAGGAAUAGAAGGCCCCACAGCUAUAGCACCUCUCUUCCCUUUAGUUCUUUGGAAGGAUGAGCAAAAUUAUUCAGCCUCUCUGAGCCUCAGUUUUCUCAUCCAUAAAAUGAUGACAGUACACCAACCUCGCAGGUCACAAGGAUGUUAUGAAAUCAGGUCUUUUCCAACACCUCCUUCAGAGAAACUCCCUGGCUCCAGGCAGGGCUUGCUCCCCUCACUGCAGCAGGAAGCCCAGCUUGCGAACUGCAGGUGUGCUCCAGGUGGUCACUGGAUGCAGGGUAUUGACAGAUGGAUCCCAUCGAUACCCCCACUGCAUAACCAUAGUGCAGUGAAUAGAAGACACUUCUCUGCACCCCAAAAGCUCC